rnacentral:misc_RNA from 1 species
GGCGUACUUAUGACCAAUCAAUGACACUCCAAAAUCAAGUCUUGUCCACAGGCAACUUCUAACAGAUUUCAGAGCUAGACUAAAACAUAUAAAUGAACUAAAAAUAUCAUUUUGGUUCACAAAUUACAGGAUCACUGUGUCCGAUAGUGGAGAAAUUUAAAAGAAAAAAAUUGCAAAACGACUCCAUUACACAGUAAAUGAUUUAUUGAUUUACAUAUCUCUUGGAAGCAUAAACAUUUUUUCUUACACAGCCCAACUGUGUGUGAUGCUACAACCUUUUAUUACUAAGAUUUUAUCCCUGUUCUAGCACAGUACUCACUAAUUCUGAAAGAAAAUGACAUGGGUAAAAAAGAGAAGAAGAUGCUGCGCGCCCCCAGUGCCCUCCCCCCCAACCCCCCCACAAUUAUCCAAGCUAAGUUUACAGCAUAAGGUACAUCAUUAUAAAAGCCUGAAUCAUCUGUAUUACCUAGCCAGUGAAAUGAUCACUAAAAUAAGCAAACAAUUAAGAGAAGGUUCAUGCAUGCAUAUCAGGUUGAACUUCCAUGUGACAUGGAGCUGCUCAUAUUGCAAUUCCAUAAGAGAAGGUGAGACUCACUAUCAACUGCAAUCAAAGUUUUCAGAAAGCAAACAUCACAAAUAAACCUAUAACUAAAGCAAAAGGAUUAAAGGUAUCAGCAACCAUUAAUGACACAACACAAAUGUAAGAGACCAUAAUAAAAACAAAAUUUGAGUAAAGCUAGUCAAGAACUUGAAAUUGGUGCUCAAGUAUCUGGGAAGCAAAUCUAACGUGCAUGAUGUUGACAAAGAGUAAAAUGCUGUACCCUUCUCUCCCAGUUCUAAAAUGACCUGAAAGACAGUGACAAUCACUACUAGUGAAUUAAACUAUACAAAUACUCAAUAUAGAACACAAAAUAGCAUAAAAAAGGAAAGGUAAAUAAUCAAUGCACAGAAAAGAACAAAAUCAAGAAAUUUGUGUAAAAACAAAGGCAAAUGACCAAGGUAUAGAAACGGAAGGCAAACAGAAACAUGAAUAUAAGAGUAACUAUCAAAUUAUGUCCCAAUUAUACCCAUCAAGUUGCAUUACAUCCCAAUGAUAUCUGAUUCUGUUGUUGCUGUUGUUUGAAAAGUAAAACAUUUGGAAGAUUUCUAUGACAGCAUCUUAUGCUUUUACAGUAUUAGAUCUCAUUGUAGCCCUUGCCAGAAUCAGAUAGAUGCAAGUGCUUGUUUAAUAUGACAAUCAGGUCCCAUUUAUAAUAAUGAAAUGUGAACCCAUAAAAUAAAAAGGCACAAACUGCCUUCUACUCAUUCAACAUACAAAAUGGUAUCUCACUAAAGUUUCCUAAACUCAAAGCACGUCAAAACCAAGAUGAUGGAGACACUGAAUGAACUAUCUGUCCAAAUGGUUGCGAUAAGUGAUAGCAAAUGCCUUACAAUGAAAAGGAUCAGGCUAAUGUAACAAAGUUAUAUCUUUCCAUGGAACAUAGAGUGAAAGAAUUCGUAAAUAGUUCUGACAAUAGCCAAGUACAAGGUAUCCAAAACAAGAGUAAAA